rfam:Oryctes borbonicus contig17382, whole genome shotgun sequence.
CGACCUCAGAGCAGGUGAGAUUACCCGCCGAAUUUAAGCAUAUUACUAAGCGGAGGAAAAGAAACUAACUAGGAUUCCCUCAGUAGCGGCGAGCGAACAGGGAAUAGCCCAGCGCCGAAUCCCGCGGCCGGUCGACGGACGCCGGGAAAUGUGGUGUUAGGGAGGAUCCGCCAUCCUGAGAUCGUUCGGCGCGCCCAAGUCCUUCUUGAACGGGGCCACUUACCCAUAGAGGGUGCCAGGCCCGUAGUUGGCCGCCGUCGAUCGCGGGAGGAUCACUCCUCAGAGUCGGGUUGCUUGAGAGUGCAGCCCUAAGCGGGUGGUAAACUCCAUCUAAGGCUAAAUAUGACCACGAGACCGAUAGCGAACAAGUACCGUGAGGGAAAGUUGAAAAGAACUUUGAAGAGAGAGUUCAAGAGUACGUGAAACCGUUCAGGGGUAAACCUGAGAAACCCGAAAGGUCGAACGGGGAGAUUCAGCGCGGCCCGGAUAACCGCGGCGAGUCGGCAACGUGCGACCGUUGGCGUUCGCGCCGACGGCUCCGUGUCCGUUCCGUCCGCGGCCGAACGUGUGCACUUCUCCCCCUGUAGGACGUCGCGACCCGUUGGGUGCCGGUCUAAGGCGUGCGGUCUAGUCCGUUCGAGUUUUCGCUCGUUCGAAACCGCGAACGCCCGACCGGCGACCUACCGACGGUACGAUCAUGGCGAGGGGCCGCGAUCAGUUCGCGUCCGGCCAAUCUCAAGUACGGACGGUAAAUCCGAAGCGCGGACCUAGCGCCGCAUCCGGACCCGUCCGACUGCUGGCGAUUGCGUUCUCGGACAGACCCCUGUUACACGCCGGUCGGCGGCGCUAUAGCUUUGGGUACUUUCAGGACCCGUCUUGAAACACGGACCAAGGAGUCUAGCAUGUGCGCGAGUCAUUGGGACUCGAACGAAACCUAAAGGCGUAAUGAAAGUGAAGGUUCGCCUCGCGCGAACCGAGGGAGGAUGGUCGAUCGUUCGAGGUCGUCCCGCACUCCCUGGGCGUCUCGUUCUCAUCGCGAGAAGAGGCGCACCAAGAGCGUACACGCUGGGACCCGAAAGAUGGUGAACUAUGCCUGGUCAGGACGAAGUCAGGGGAAACCCUGAUGGAGGUCCGUAGCGAUUCUGACGUGCAAAUCGAUCGUCGGAACUGGGUAUAGGGGCGAAAGACUAAUCGAACCAUCUAGUAGCUGGUUCCCUCCGAAGUUUCCCUCAGGAUAGCUGGCGCUCGCUUCUCGCGAGUCUCAUUCGGUAAAGCGAAUGAUUAGAGGCAUUGGGGUCGAAACGGCCUCAACCUAUUCUCAAACUUUAAAUGGGUGAGAUCUCCGGCUUGCUUGAACUGUGAAGCCGCGAGAUAUCGGAUCAGAGUGCCAAGUGGGCCACUUUUGGUAAGCAGAACUGGCGCUGUGGGAUGAACCAAACGCCGAGUUAAAGCGCCUAAAUCGACGCUUAUGGGAUACCAUGAAAGGCGUUGGUAACUUAAGACACUUUAUUUGUUUAACUUAAAACUAAAUGACAAUAAAUGCCCUAGCUCCGGUGCUCCGCCAGCGGCACUACACCGGAUGUCCUCAACUUAACUGUACAUUUUAAACGCAGAUCUAGCUAUCUAAAAACUACUCUAAUUAACCUAGGAUGAUGCGGGCCUAGCCCGCGCCCUACUUAAUCCAUAUAUAUAUAUACAUCGCAAUCUCCUAACCCCGCGGAAACAGUACCGCGAACAAAUGACCGCUUAGCUUAUUAUUAUUAUAAUUUUUCCUUUUACAUUACAAAUAGUACAGAAUUAUCCGCUUCGCUCCUGCGGUUGCCGCUAUUCCCUCGGGGUUGUUUCCUCUCGUCGUGUGUCCCUUCGGUUCGAGUGGUCCUGGACGUCCGCGAGUGGUCGUCCCGGUGAUCGCCUCUCUCCUCCGGGAGCCUAGAUUACGAUCCUAGUCUCGAGCUCCCUGAAACUUCCGUAGGUGAACCUGCGGAAGGAUUCAUUAACGUUUCCCAAUGCUUCUGCUAUUUCGAAGCGUAGAAACAACACCACGUUUAUGUUGUAUACCGGCUUUAUUAUUACCGGACAACGACGACAAACCUAUUCGAACUGAACCUCCCCGCGUGCGUCGUAUUAUCGUUACGCAUAAAUGUAAUGUAAUAGCGCCGGGGAGGAAUAUUCAUUUGAACUGUCCCGCGAACGUAUCGGUUCCGAUGCUGUCGUCGGGGGGGGGG